GGACAGGGCCGUACAAGAAAUGAAAUGAAUGAUAAGAACAAAAGCUCGAGAAAGAAUUAAUAAGAUCCCACCUUUACAAAACAGUGUCUAAUGAAACGUCUCACAUACACUUUCACUUACCAAACAAUCAUCACUUUAUUUACAGGGAAAGUAACGAUUUUUCAAAAAGAAGAAAGGGAAGAAGCUCAAGAAAUCCAUAGAAUCGAAUAGAGAAGAGCAAAUAGAGAUGGGUUUCGGAGCAGAGGUAGUUAUGGCCGUUGUGGGAUUGUGGGGUGUGUUUCUGCGGCCAAUAAUGUUCAGAUAUGCAUCUGAGAUUUUCCAGGUUAUGGGAUGCGCCAUUUACCAUAUUGUAAGUGGAACAAUGCCUUCUUGGCUUCACUCUAAUAAUAAUAAUAAUAAUAGUCCACUCUAUGGCCCAUUAACAUAAUUAGUUUUUCAUCAUCUUUUAAUUGAAAUAAGAGUUUAAGGAUUAGGAAAGCCUUAAGUUCCUGUUGUAAACUAUUCUAGUCCCAGAAAUAUGUAUGCCUUUUUCUUAUUCAAUUUCUAGGUUCAAGGAUUCCACUGGUUUCUUUAGUGUACUACUGCUUACGCUUAUAUUUUAUUUAACGUUUUGAAAUUAAUAUCCAACUUGGACAAAUCUUAUAAACAUUGUACUUUGGUCCCACGCAUAUUAUGGUCUAUAUAUCUAACCAUUCAGAUGACUGCACCUAAAAGCCAUUGAAAUUAGUGGAUCCACCACGAAAUCUCAUAAUCAUUAUCUUUACUUCGAAAGUUUAAUUUGGUGACUAAAAUCUUCUGUAUAUAAAAAUAUUGUCACGUUAUACAAAAGAAAGAAUGAAGUCCUUCGUUAAAAUAUCGUUAAAAAAAAAAUUCUCCUGUGAUUUGAUCCUUUUCCGUUUGAAUUCAUGUAAACAGAACUUCAUUUAAUUUGGUAGAAUUAUUUAAAUAAACUAAUUAGGUUUAAUUUCAAUUAUAUUAUUGUUGAAAUUGAAAUUGAUAUUUUCAUUUCUGUGGAAAUUCAAUCAACCACCACUAACUCAGCUAUCGN
rnacentral:lncRNA from 1 species